AGCGAACGCUGGCGGCAGGCCUAACACAUGCAAGUCGAACGAAGUCUUCGGACUUAGUGGCGGACGGGUGAGUAACACGUGGGAACGUACCUUUUGGUUCGGAAUAACUGAGGGAAACUUCAGCUAAUACCGGAUAAGCUCUUCGGAGGAAAGAUUUGUCGCCAUUAGAGCGGCCCGCGUUGGAUUAGGUAGUUGGUGUGGUAAAGGCGCACCAAGCCUACGAUCCAUAGCUGGUCUGAGAGGAUGAUCAGCCACACUGGGACUGAGACACGGCCCAAAGUACUACGGGAGGCAGCAGUGGGGAAUCUUGCGCAAUGGUCGAAAGACUGACGCAGCCAUGCCGCGUGAAUGAUGAAGGUCUUAGGAUUGUAAAAUUCUUUUAGCAGGGACGAUAAUGACGGUACCUGCAGAAAAAGCCCCGGCUAACUUCGUGCCAGCCGCCGCCGUAA
rnacentral:rRNA from 1 species